GGCUUGGUUGGGCGGUCCGCUUAACGGCGUGUACUGUCUGACUGGGUCUUACCUCUUGGUGAACUGGCGUGCCCUUUAUUGGUGUGCGUCAGGGAACCAGGACUUUUACCUUGAGAAAAUUAGAGUGUUCAAAGCAGGCUAUUGCCUGAAUACAUUAGCAUGGAAUAAUAAUUUAGGACUUUGCUCCUAUUUUAUUGGUUUCUAGGGGUAAAGUA
rnacentral:rRNA from 1 species